rnacentral:rRNA from 1 species
CGAAGAUAAGACGGAUUAGCGGCGGACGGGUGAGUAACACGUGAGUAACCUGCCUUUUACACAGGGAUAGCCUCGGGAAACCGGGAUUAAAACCUGAUGAAACUAUCAAAUCACAUGAUUAAGAAAGUUAAAACUCCGGUGGUAAAAGAUGGACUCGCGUCCCAUUAGCUAGUUGGUGAAGGUAACGGCCCACCAAGGCAACGAUGGGUAGCCGGCCUGAGAGGGUGAACGGCCACAUUGGAACUGAGAAACGGUCCAAACUCCUACGGGAGGCAGCAGUUA